rnacentral:rRNA from 1 species
CAGCCGCCGCGGUAAUACAGAGGGUGCAAGCGUUAAUCGGAAUUACUGGGCGUAAAGCGCGCGUAGGUGGUUUGUUAAGUUGGAUGUGAAAUCCCCGGGCUCAACCUGGGAACUGCAUUCAAAACUGACUGACUAGAGUAUGGUAGAGGGUGGUGGAAUUUCCUGUGUAGCGGUGAAAUGCGUAGAUAUAGGAAGGAACACCAGUGGCGAAGGCGACCACCUGGACUAAUACUGACACUGAGGUGCGAAAGCGUGGGGAGCAAACAGGAUUAGAUACCCCCGUAGUCCCUGUCUCUUAUAC